UACGUAGGGAGCAAGCGUUGUUCGGAAUUACUGGGCGUAAAGCGUGCGUAGGCGGUGUUCUAAGUCUGUUGUGAAAUCUCCCGGCUUAACCGGGAGGGUGCGGCGGAAACUGGAAUGCUAGAGGAUGGGAGAGGUAAGCGGAAUUCCUGGUGUAGCGGUGAAAUGCGUAGAUAUCAGGAGGAACACCUGUGGUGUAGGCAGCUUACUGGACCAUUUCUGACGCUGAGGCACGAAAGCGUGGGUAGCAAACAGG
rnacentral:rRNA from 1 species